ACUUUAAUAGGCUUCUUAGGUGCCUCAUUUGUAGGAGAAUAGGGAAGUUCUGAAACGACGCGGAGCCCGCCACUGUAGUCGAGGAGCUGCUACAAUACCACUGGGAAACUGGGAAGGUGUAGCAUGCGAUGAAUCGGAGCCAGGAGACCUGCCUAAGAAGAUGCGCUGUC
rnacentral:ncRNA from 2 species